CGCCAGUCGCGGGCGGAACAGCGCUGCCUCCGGCGGACUGCGCGAAGAGCGCCCGUGGCGCGGCGCGGCUUGCUCCUUCUCCCCUGGGAUGCCGUGCGUGUCGCUCUGAUCAUUCAUGGACUUCUUUCGGGUCGUUGACGCAGUUGGCCUGGCUUGCCCAGUGCGUGCUGGACAGUUGUGAGGUGUGGCCGCCUGUAUUUUGCCGUGUGUUCUUCACAAGAUGGUCAAGACUGAUGAAAGUAAAGCCCUCUUUUCCGAUCUAGAGCUAACAUUUCUCUGGUGCCGUCGCACGGAUAACGUAUGAUGCCACUACUGGAUACGGAGACGGAAGCAGAAGGCAACAGUGACACGGUAGCCACGACGCCCUGCAGAGUGACUUCCACACCAUUUGAUGCCAUGGGAAGAAAAAUGAGGGAACUACCACUUCGCCUUGACCACUAACGGCACUUCGGGCUCGUCGCGGUGCCGCCGACGCAUCAUGGACUCUAACUUGCUAAGAGCUUCAGCCUUAGCAGAACGCUGAGCAUCUUUGAAACAGGCAAAAGGAGCUCUCUCCGUGUGUUGUCUGCUAAAGCUGUUUUUCUACUGCCCAUAGCUGUGCUUGCGCUUCGUCGAUUUGUGACACCGCCAUGCUGACCCGAGGGACGGAGUCGGCACCUAAACGG